GGCGCAAGAGUAGAAGAACAUGUGGUCGUGGUUAUUCGGCAAUGCCACGCCCACAAGUCCUCCUACUUUUACGAC